UACGACGGGUGCAAGCGUGAAUCGGCCUUACUGGGCGUAAAGCGCGCGUAGGUGGUUUGUUAAGUUGGAUGUGAAAGCCCCGGGCUCAACCUGGGAACUGCAUCCAAAACUGGCAAGCUAGAGUAUGGCAGAGGGUGGUGGAAUUUCCUGUGUAGCGGUGAAAGGCGUAGAUAGAGGAAGGAAAACCAGGGGCGAAGGCGACCACCUGGGCUAAUACUGACACUGAGGUGCGAAAGCGUGGGGAGAACACAGGAGGAGAUACCCCCGGAGUCC
rnacentral:rRNA from 1 species